rnacentral:RNase_P_RNA from 1 species
UAUCUUUCGUUGAUGAUCGCUCCAACUCGUUUGGAGAGGAAAGUCCGGACUCAUAUAUUUCUUUGAAAUAUAUAUUGGUAGUGGGUAAUACCCACCUCCCUGUCUGCGAAGACAUGGGACGGGACAGUGCCGCAGAGACAAUACUAAUUUUGCGCAGCAAAAUUAUCCUGAGUGAGCGAAGCGAAUCGAAGGAUCCUUGAACGAGGGACACCCUUCGGCUUCAUCCCGACUGCGGUCGGGAUUUCGCUCAGGGUCAUCCUGCUGCGCAGGACGAAAGGUGAAAAGUGUAUAUACGUUUUUGCUCUAUAGACAAAAGCGAGUAUACUCGACGUAUGGCAACAUGCGUUCGUGGCAAACCCUAUCAAGAGCAAGAGCAGCCCGUCUUCGCUCAGCUUCGCCGGGCAAAGCCCGAACGGAGCAUAGCGAAGCCUGGGAAAAGUUCGCUCGCUUGACCCCAACAGUAAUGCUGGGGCUAGAUAAAUGAUCAUCCCUGUGUCGCUAUGCGAUAUGGGACAAAAUCCGGCUUAUACAGAAAGAUAAGAU